GAUGAACGCUGGCGGCGUGCCUAAUACAUGCAAGUCGAGCGAACAGACGAUGAGCUUGCUCCUCGCACGUUAGCGGCGGACGUGUGAGUAACACGUGUAUAACCCACCUAUAAGACUGGGAUAACUUCGGGAAACCGGAUCUAAUACCGGAUAAUAUAUUGAACCGCAUUGGUCAAUAGUGAAAGACGGUUUUUCUGGCACUUAUAGAUGCAUCUGCGCCGCAUUAGGUAGUUGGUAAGUUAACGGCUUACCACGGCGACGAGGCGUAGACGAACUGCGGGGGUGAUAGCCCACACGGGAACGUGACCACGGACAAGACUCCUAAGGGAGGCAGCAGUCGGGAACCUUACGCAGUAGGGGAAAGCUUGGCGGAGUAACGGCGAGUGAGUGAUGAAGGUGCUCGGAGCGUAAAACUCUGUUAUUAGGGAAGAACAAAUGUGUAAGGAAAUAUGCACGUAUUGACGGUAACUAAUCAGAAAGCAACGGCUAACUACGUG
rnacentral:rRNA from 1 species